AUUGAACGCUGGCGGCAGGCCUAAUACAUGCCAGUCGAGCGGAUGAAGGGAGCUUGCUCCUGGAUUCAGCGGCGGACGGGUGAGUAAUGCCUAGGAAUCUGCCUGGUAGUGGGGGAUAACGUCCGGAAACGGGCGCUAAUACCGCAUACGUCCUGAGUGAGAAAGUGGGGGAUCUUCGGACCUCACGCUAUCAGAUGAGCCUAAGUCGGAUUAGCUAGUUGGUGGGGUAAAGGCCUACCAAGGCGACGAUCCGUAACUGGUCUGAGAGGAUGAUCAGUCACACUGGAACUGAGACACGGUCCAGACUCCUACGGGAGGCAGCAGUAGGGAAUAUUGGACAAUGGGCGAAAGCCUGAUCCAGCCAUGCCGCGUGUGUGAAGAAGGUCUUCGGAUUGUAAAGCACUUUAAGUAGGGAGGAAGGGCAGUAAGUUAAUACCUUGCUGUUUUGACGUUACCAACAGAAUAAGCACCGGCUAACUUCGUG
rnacentral:rRNA from 1 species